rnacentral:tRNA from 1 species
AUUGGAGUGCCUGAUUAAAGGAUAAUUUUGAUAGGAUUAAUAAUGUGUGUCGAGCCUCACCUCCACUA